rnacentral:misc_RNA from 1 species
CUUUUGUAAGAAAGUAAUAAAUCAAUAAAUAUAAAAAUAUUCUAUUAUUACGUAUUUUUAAAGACCAGUCAUUUUGACUGGUUUUGGUAGAAAUAGCUUCGUGUUAACUAUCGGUAGUUCUAGUGUUAAAACUUUAACUGCCACGUUGGUCAUAUAUGACCGGUCACUGUUUCUCCUGUGACGCCACGGUGGUCAUUGGUGGCCAGAGCGCUUGAAAUUCUUAUAAUUGUAAAAAUUGUAUGAAAAUUGACAGUUAGGGCAUUUUGAAUAUAACCGAUAAAUAGAAGAUACUUUGAAAUAAAAGGUGCCCCAUUGAACAAUUAAGCAUUUUUAUUAGAACAUCAAUAAAAAAAAAAAGA